rnacentral:rRNA from 1 species
UACGUAGGGGGCAAGCGUUGUCCGGAAUCAUUGGGCGUAAAGCGCGCGUAGGCGGCCCGGUAAGUCCGCUGUGAAAGUCAAAGGCUCAACCUUUGAAUGCCGGUGGAUACUGCCGGGCUAGAGUCCGGAAGAGGCGAGUGGAAUCCUGGUGUAGCGGUGGAAUGCGCAGAUAUCAGGAGGAACACCAAUAGCGAAGGCAGCUCGCUGGGACGGUACUGACGCUGAGGCGCGAAAGCGUGGGGAGCGAACAGG